rnacentral:ncRNA from 2 species
AAUCUAUGGAAGCAACCAACUCGUAUAUCCUCAAUAAUAUGGUUUGAGGGUCUCUACUAGGAACCAAAAAUCCUAACUACGAGUAUAGGAUACGUGCGU